rnacentral:rRNA from 1 species
GACGAACGCUGGCGGCGUGCUUAACACAUGCAAGUCGAACGGAAAGGCCCUGCUUUUGUGGGGUGCUCGAGUGGCGAACGGGUGAGUAACACGUGAGCAACCUGCCCUUGACUUUGGGAUAACUUCAGGAAACUGGGGCUAAUACCGGAUAGGAGCUCCUGCUGCAUGGUGGGGGUUGGAAAGUUUCGGCGGUUGGGGAUGGACUCGCGGCUUAUCAGCUUGUUGGUGGGGUAGUGGCUUACCAAGGCUUUGACGGGUAGCCGGCCUGAGAGGGUGACCGGCCAAAUUGGGAAUGAGAUACGGCCCAGACUCCUACGGGAGGCAGCAGGGGGGAAUAUUGCAAAAUGGGCGGAAGCCUGAUGCAGCAACGCCGCGUGCGGGAUGACGGCCUUCGGGUUGUAAACCGCUUUCGCCUGUGACGAAGCGUGAGUGACGGUAAUGGGUAAAGAAGCACCGGCUAACUACGUG